UACGUAGGGGCUAGCGUUGUUCGGAAUUACUGGGCGUAAAGCGCGUGUAGGCGGGUCUUUAAGUCAGGGUGAAAUCCUGGAGCUCAACUCCAGAACUGCCUUUGAUACUGAAGAUCUUGAGUUCGGGAGAGGUGAGUGGAACUGCGAGUGUAGAGGUGAAAUUCGUAGAUAUUGCAAGAACACCAGUGGCGAAGGCGGCUCACUGGCCCGGUACGUCGAGCGCAUGACGGCUGGGACGGAAAAGCCGGAUUGGGGAGCAAACUACGGGA
rnacentral:rRNA from 1 species